rnacentral:sRNA from 12 species
GCUGUGGAGUGCCACACAAACGCAAGUAGCUACGGCGAAAGCGGGUACUGAGAAGCAGUAA